rnacentral:misc_RNA from 1 species
CCUUGCAAAGAAAGCAGCUGAGUCUAGGUCAAAAUAUCGCUUUUGUCCAAAUAAGGAACAGUCUUCUCGGUCACGUAAUAGUGCAGAAUCACAGCCUCAUCUUCAUGUUGAUGCUCAGGGGCGGGUGUCAUUUUCUUCCAUCCGCAGGCCUCGUCCACUUCUUGAAGUUGAUCCACCAGGCUUUGUUUGCAUUGACAGCAGUGCUGACCAGAAGAUAUCUGAGAGACCCUUGGAACAGGAGCCAAUGCUGGCAGCUAGAAUUACAAUAGAAGAUGGUUUCUAUCUUCUCACUGAGGUAGAUGACAUUGACAGGCUCCUUCAGUUUAGUCAGCCCCAAGACUGUGGUGCUCAGCUCAAGCGGAAGCGACAGAUCCUGCUGGAAGGCAUGGCCGCCUCACUUCAACUAGUUGAUCCGCUUGGUAAAGGUGGAAGUUCUGUCGGGCUUACUCCUAAAGAUGACAUUGUAUUUCUAUGGUUGGUGUCUCUUCCCAAGGGCCGGAAGCUCAUGUCAAGGUAUCUUCAGCUUCUUCUGCCUGGCAAUGAGCUUGUCAGAAUAGUUUGUAUGGCAAUUUUCCGCCAUUUGAGGUUUUUGUUUGGCGGUCAUCCACCUGAUGUUGGAGCAGCUGAAACCAUCACUGAUCUUGCAAAAGUAGUCUCUAAAUGUGUCACUCUCAUGGACCUUAAUUCACUGAGUGCUUGUCUUGCUGCUGUUGUGUGUUCCUCAGAACAACCACCUCUUCGCCCUCUUGGAAGCCCUGCUGGAGAUGGAGCUUCUAUUAUUUUAAAAUCUGUUCUUGAAGGG